GAUGAACGCUGGCGGCGUGCUUAACACAUGCAAGUCGAACGAUGAUGCCCAGCUUGCUGGGUGGAUUAGUGGCGAACGGGUGAGUAACACGUGAGUAACCUGCCCUUGACUCUGGGAUAAGCCUGGGAAACUGGGUCUAAUACCGGAUACGACCAUCUGGCUCCUGUCAUGGUGGUGGAAAGCUGUUGUGGUUUUGGAUGGACUCGCGGCCUAUCAGCUUGUUGGUGGGGUAAUGGCCUACCAAGGCGACGACGGGUAGCCGGCCUGAGAGGGUGACCGGCCACACUGGGACUGAGACACGGCCCAGACUCCUACGGGAGGCAGCAGUGGGGAAUAUUGCACAAUGGGCGCAAGCCUGAUGCAGCGACGCCGCGUGAGGGAUGACGGCCUUCGGGUUGUAAACCUCUUUCAGUAGGGAAGAAGCGAAAGUGACGGUACCUGCAGAAGAAGCGCCGGCUAACUACGUG
rnacentral:rRNA from 1 species